CACAAUAUCGCCAUCAUUAAAACGAAGAAUGUUUACGAGAGAACGGAUCGGAUUGAAGAACUUUUGUCUGAAGAAAUGCGUAAAUAUGACCGCUUAUACAAGCCGUCAUUGGCGAUAACUAUUGACUAUAAGGACGCGCGGAUGGCCUCCCGAUUCAUGGAGGGAGAUCUCCACAAACGUCGGUUUGCCGGUCGAGAAGUGCACAAAGUUGUAGAAGAAAAUACUGGACAAAUGUGCCCGCGUGGCACCCGUGAAUUCUUUUAAUCUACCCGGGAAAGAGCACCGAAGCGACGGUGCACCUUCGUCGGACCUCGCGCUGUGAGGAAGUCACUAAACAAAACCCCACGUCCGCCGUCGCUGCCCCUGCUGCCCUCACCAACUGGUGCUCGCACUGGACCGGUGAAGACAGGAGGCAGAGUGUUUGUUUUGGACCACAAACGAUGGCCGCCCCCCAUGAAGGCAGUUAUCGACCAGCUGCCCAACAAACACCAUGCUGACUCCAGCCUCUAUUGAGAAGAUUGUACUCAACAUCAUGGAAAAGCAGCAGCAACAUCAACAACAACAACAACAACAACCGGGGCAAAAGAAGGGACACACGAAAAGGUGUCUUUCCUGUGGCCAGCCAAAGUCUAGUUGUGCGCAGCUUCAUUGGACGACAUCUGGGAAGAAGAAGAAGGCGCUCCACACGCCUGCUGAGGGAACAUCUCUGCUGCGGAUGUGGGGGUCGACGUCUUUUCUCACCAGCAUCUAUCAUGCUAAAGUCCCUUUUUCCUCCUUUCCUUCGAUUGAUAUGGUUAUUUUAAGCCAGGGAGGCCAAUGAUCGAUCGCAAAGCAGUGCCAGUAGAUCGCCGACCAUCAAUCCUUGCUCACUAAAGGACGCAUUUAAUUUCAUUCAUAAGAAAGAUAAUGAACAAGAAUGUAUGGAAUGGCUCAAUGUUUUCUUCAUAUUAUUUGCUUUUGUUGAGGGGAUUGCCGUGACACGGGUGGCCCGGCUCUUCCUAAAUCUUUAUUAUUUGGCAACUAACAUUCAUACAAUAUCAUAAUGGGUUCAUGCCCCUGAGACGGAAUGGUGCAUCUUGGAGGAUCAAUCAUGCUGUUCAAGCUUUCUUCCUGCAUUGGUUUACGCACCCUUCACUUUGGGACUGAUCUCUAAACUUUACAACCAGAUCCUAAUUACAAUAU
ensembl:lncRNA